CCUACUUGUGGGCUGGGCCCAGGGAGGAGAGUGAAAUCACCCAGAGGCUGGGCAAAGCUGUAUGUCACAAUCCCACCUGCCCGCAGGUCCAAGGAUGAGAGUCACAAUCCCACACAUGUCCCAGGUCCCGUCUCUCACAUGAGACAGUCCCUGGGCCUGGGCCUGCAGGACCAUGGCAGCCCUCUGUCCUCUGCCUGCUGCUUUGUGCCCUGGGUGAUCGGGUGGCUUCUGUAUCUGUGCAAUGCUAACCUGCCUCCCUCUGCAGGCCCAAUGCCAGAGAGGAGGCGGACACCUUUGAGCAGCGCCUCACUCAUUGAGCUGUGUCAUCUUCCAAGACUGUUUGAUAGGGGCAGAGCUUCUUUGGAUAUCAGGGACCCAGUCCAACAGGCACCAGAAGAACUGGGCUGGAGACUUGAGCAAAGAUUGGAUCAUUUCCUGUUCUGUGAAAAAAUGCCUUCUCCCACUCUGGCAUUCAGAGACCAUUUCCCGGCAAUAUUAAGCAUGUGAUUACUUAAUGAGACACUUAAGGCAGUUUUGAGAAGUAUAAAAACAUCGUGGUCUGGGCUUCCUACUCCUGAUGUUACAUAAACGACAUCGAGAAUUCAACUCAGUCUUGCCUCCACGUAUUAGGUCCCUCCUGUGUGCCUGGCACUGUGUUAGGUGCUAGGAGCAGACAGGAAGAUAAAAGUCCACUCAGGUCGGAGCAGUCAGAAGGCAGAAUGCAGGAUAAAAGGAUGUCCAAGGCCAGGCGCAGUGGCUCUCGUCUGUCACCCAACACUUUGGGAGGCCAAGGCAGAUGGAUCACUUGAAACCAGGAGUUCGAGACCAGCCUGGGAAACAUGGCAAAACCCCAUCUCCACAAAAAAUAUAAAAGUUAGCCAGACAUGGUGGCAUGCCUAUAGUUCCCCAAAAGAGGACGUCCAUGCGUAAGGUGAGGUGACAGAGAUGUGCUUUCUAGUAGCAUCAAUACAAAGACAGAUCCCUACGUUCUGAUUAAGUCUCGUGAGCUGGCGGGAGAAAUGUCUCACAGAGGAAAGAGCCCUGGAGCUCCGGCUUAGGGAAUGUGAAAGAUUUCUACCACGGAGAAUUUGUGGGGAGCUCGUGGCAGCAGAGGGAGCAGCACAAGGAGUCUGGGAAACUGCGGCAGAGGAAGGGUGAUGUGUUGGAAUAUUUCCUGGUGCCUUUCUCCAGGGCUUGAGACUCCCUUGUGGCUGCCUUGCUCCCUCCCAUCUCUGCUUUCACCAGCGUCUUAUCUGCCCCCUAGGACUGCCAUGAUAAAGCGCCACAAACUGGGUGGCUUAAAACAACAGGAAUUCAUUCUCUCACCGUUCUGGAGGCUGGAAAUCCCAAAUCAAGGUGUUGGCAGGGCCCAGCCCCCUCUGGAUCCAUAGGAGGGGAUCUGCCUCUCCGAGUUUCUGCGGCUGCCGGUCAUCUCCUGGACUCCCUGGCCUGAGGCUGCUUCAUUCCCUCCUCCGUAUUCACAUGGCGCCUUCUUCCUGGGUGAUUUCACAUCCCCUUCUCUCUGUCUGUGUGUCUCUGUGUGCACAUUUCCCCUUUUUAUGAGCACACCAGUCGCAUUGAAUUAGGGCUCACCCUAACGGCCUCCUUUUAACUGGUAUUUGUCUGCAAAGACCCUGUCUUCAAAUAAAAUCCCGUCGUGGGGCA
rnacentral:lncRNA from 13 species